UUCUGCUUCUGUUGCCAUUCCGCUCUGGUUGCGUUCUGGUUUUAACAUUGAAGAGUUGCCACAAAUGCGGCGCGUAGCUUCCCCGAAGGAAGACCACAUAAAGUUGUGCAAAUGCCGAGGCAGGAAGAACUCUGACCUGGGCUCAUAUAAUUUUAUGUUAAAAACCGAUAUAAAUUCUAUUCUAUUUGCUGUUCAUAUUUUAAUAGUUUUAUUUUAUUUUCCUACAGGGCAAUACAGGAAAAAGCUGGACUGCAUGAAUUCACUGCUGAGCAGGUUAAAAUUAAGUGGUCCAACUUAACUCGAAAGUAUAAGUUGCUGAUCACUCCUCCUACUGGUGGGGCAACGGAAAAUGGCGAGCAGACUCCGGAGGACUGGGAACAUUUCAAUCAAAUGCACGAGUUCAUGUCCACCCAACACACGAUCAACCCCCCACU